UACGUAGGGAGCGAGCGUUAUCCGGAAUUAUUGGGUGUAAAGGGUGCGUAGACGGGAAAGCAAGUUAGUUGUGAAAUCCCUCGGCUUAACUGAGGAACUGCAACUAAAACUACUUUUCUUGAGUGCAGGAGAGGUAAGUGGAAUUCCUAGUGUAGCGGUGAAAUGCGUAGAUAUUAGGAGGAACACCAGUGGCGAAGGCGACUUACUGGACUGUAACUGACGUUGAGGCACGAAAGUGUG
rnacentral:rRNA from 1 species